rnacentral:rRNA from 1 species
AGUGAACGCUGGCGGUAGGCCUAACACAUGCAAGUCGAACGGCAGCACAGUAAGAGCUUGCUCUUACGGGUGGCGAGUGGCGGACGGGUGAGGAAUACAUCGGAAUCUACUUUUUCGUGGGGGAUAACGUAGGGAAACUUACGCUAAUACCGCAUACGACCUACGGGUGAAAGCAGGGGAUCUUCGGACCUUGCGCGAUUGAAUGAGCCGAUGUCGGAUUAGCUAGUUGGCGGGGUAAAGGCCCACCAAGGCGACGAUCCGUAGCUGGUCUGAGAGGAUGAUCAGCCACACGGGAGCUGAGACGCGAUCCAGACUCCAACAGGAGGCAACAGUGGGGAAUAUUGGACAAUGGGCGCAAGCCUGAUCCAGCCAUACCGCAUGAGUGAAGAAGGCCUUCGGGUUGUAAAGCCCUUUUGUUGGGAAAGAAAAGCAGCAGGUUAAUACCCCGCUGUUCUGACGGUACCCAAAGAAUAAGCACCGGCUAACUUCGUG